rnacentral:rRNA from 1 species
CUGCCCUAUGAGGAAUUAAAUGGCCGCGGUAUUUUGACCGUGCAAAGGUAGCAUAAUAAUUAGUUUUUUAAUUGAAAGCUGGAAUGAAUGAUUGAACGAGAAAAUGACUGUCUCAAUUUAAUUUUAUUAGAAAUUUAUUUUUAAGUAAAAAAGCUUAAAUUUUAUUGAAAGACGAGAAGACCCUAUAGAGUUUUAUAAUUAAUUAUUAAUUAAUUUUAUAGAAUUAUUAUAUUAAUAUUUAGUUGAUUAUUUUAUUGGGGUGAUAGAAAAAUUUAAAUAACUUUUUAUAAUAGAAUUAACAUUAAUUUAUGACUUAUUGAUCCAUUGGAAUGAUUAUAAGAUUAAGUUACCUUAGG